GCCUAUUUUAUUUCUUGUUUCUUAUUGUAAUUUCUUUGCUGAUGUGGCUUUCCUCGAGCAUUGGGUGAACCAAGAUGGACAUUACUGCCGCUAGAAAAUCGACUGAACCUCACCUUGAGUUGUUCCAGUUGUUAUCAUUAGCACACCACAUAGAUUACACUUCUAAGGGAUAUAUCCAUCAUCAUUGGCAUUUGUGUCGUCUUGUCUUCACUUUCAAAAUCUCGGACGCCUUUCCCAGUACUCUACUCCUUGUGACUACUGGUGGUUUACCAAAGAAAUUGCGGUUUUGGAAAACCUUAUUCAUGUGAUUUAGCUUAUUAAGAAAUCUUAUACCAUCCGAUUCAACCUGGGAUACAUUAGAUUUGAUCAAUUAAGAGCAACGGUUGUUAAUCCGUCAAAAAAAAAGAAAAGAAAAAAGAAAAAAGAAAGAGAGAAAAAAAACAGUUGGAAUAUCAAUUUGAGGAUACAUUUUCCCAAUUAUCAUGCUUAGCUAAACUUUUGAAGAUAUAUUUGGCCCGAAGCUUCACCCUUUUGGCCUUUGAAUGUUGUUGAGCCUGUGGAAGACUCUAGUUCCUUUUAUGAUUUUGAUCAAAAGGAAAACAACCGUUGGAAUAUGACCAGUUCAUUGCGGGGCCUGCUGGACAAAUUGGACCAGAUCUUUGUAUUCUACAAAAUGUUCCCAUGGAACUUGCAUGUAAUAGGUAUGAUCAUAAUCCAUGUGCAAUUAGAAUGCCUCAUUCAAGCUCAUCUUCUUUGAUUUUCACCCCUGUUUUCCUCUUUUUUUUUUUUCUUCUGAAUGUUACUUAGGUAAGAGAUUGUCUGUGAAAUCUUUUAACAUAUAAUGGCCUACAUGCAUAUGCCUUGCUGUAAAAGAUGGUUAUGGUUCCUAUCAUUGCCUUGCUUGGAUGGGGUGAGCCCUCGAUGGUUCAAGCUCCAGGAACGUAAACCCGAAGUUUCUGCUAUGUGUCUGACAUGGUAAACGGUUCUAUGCCCACAGAAUUGCUUUGCUUGCUUCUUCAGACACAUUCUGUGCAAUGUUUGACGGUGGUUAUCAGGCUUUCUAGUCAAUAGCAUCUCCACCUACAAAGCCAUGGCAUGGUUUCUUAGAAACAACAGCUUGUCCGAUACACUGCCAUCCCAAAAAAGCUAUAAACUUCUUAAUGUUUUGGAAACUGUGGAUCACUGGAGCAACAUGGGUUUGCAAGGAACAAGAUUUGGACCAUUGAUGAUGAUCCUUCACCUCUUCAUCCUGCUAAGUACAUUGGCAAGUCUGCUAUAGACUUGCUACUGAAACCAUCUGAAGAGGAUAUGAAGUGCUGGCCCCACUGUGAAGGGAGGAUAGAAGGGCUGGAGACACUUGAUUAUCUGGACAACCUUUGCCAACGAGAACGCUUCACUGAACAAGGAGAUGCCAUAACAUUUGAGUCUGAGGUAAGAGUACUGAGAUUGGCGAAACAUGUGGGAUACUAUGUGAAUGGAACUAUGUUUUGCUGGAAACAUUGAAAUGGGUCU